GAGAGAGGAGACUGGGCGGUGAUCUAGGUACAAGGUUGGCCAACAGCUCAGGAGGAGCUGAGGAGCCAGAGGAUGUCCAAGUUGUCUAAAAAUUCAGAUCUCCUGGAAACCUCUGAGGCCAAUUGUUCGGGCUCUAGAAAUUGGGGAAGUUGGGAAUUUUGAGCUCCAGAAGUUAUCCCUCCAAAGUGCCACCAGAGAUGUUCCUGGCCACCUGUGACAUUUCCUCAGAAUCUGUAUUAAAUUCAAGGUUCUUGAACCAUGGCUUGAUUAGAAAAGAACCCAUGAAUACUGAGGGAAGGGAAGACAGAUUUAUCUGAACCUAAACCCUCACACCAAUGAAUCACAUGUCCUUAUUAAAAAAUGAUUAGUUCAUAUCCAGGGUGUAAUCUAUGGGCCAGAUACAUUUUAAUAGAAGGAUCUAGAAGAAAGAAAAGGUCUAAUAGGUAUGUCUUUGUGUCUUUGCUCCUAAGUCCUGGAGAAACUUGGGUGGAAUCCUCCUGUUCUCCCUGCUGAGAGGUGUUGGGCUC
rnacentral:lncRNA from 1 species